AAAACAAAUGCCCACAGUCUUAAAGCCGGUAACCAUCCUCAACUUCACACAAGCAAAUGGGACAGGUAGCUUCAUCAUCAAGUGUCUCAGCUGAAUCAGCACUUGUCUGUGCAAUCUCAAAAAUUAUUUCUUCCACUUUUUGCUUCGAUUCCGUGCUUCCGUGAAUAUAGAUAACGUGGCCACGGGUGCUAAGUGUAAACUCUGCCUCAGGUACCCUCUCUUUGAGCCCAUAAAGGUCUGGGCCAAACUUCUUAACUACUUUCUUCAUCAUAUCAGGAGGCAGAGUUCCACCUCUGAGAUGAAUCUCAAGUCGCCUGCUCUCAUGGUAUGUCAGAAGGGAUUGAAUCAACUUCUGCUGGGCAAAAGCAACAUUGUCUGAAGAACCAAAGAUCCUUAGUUUGAAGUUCCAUCUGUCAAAUAAGAUGUAUGUUUUAGUUUCCCUCUGUAUUGACUUCAUCAGAUUGAUACCCUGUCUGGAGAACAAAUGUGUUAAAAUAGUGGGAGUGAGGCUCGCAUGAUUUAUUAUUCGUCCUUUCAUGAGCUCUUCCAAAGGUCUUCUCAGCUCUGCAACAGUUCUUGUGGCAUUGGCAGAUAUUCUUACCCGGUAGGAACUAUUUUCAUUCUUUUCUAGACUGAAUUCUACACC
rnacentral:misc_RNA from 1 species